UACGUAGGUGGCAAGCGUUGUCCGGAUUUACUGGGUGUAAAGGGGGCGCAGGCGGGAAGCUAAGUUGGAUGUGAAAUACCGGGGCUCAACUCCGGAGCUGCAUCCAAAACUGGUUUUCUUGAGUGGAGUAGAGGCAAGCGGAAUUCCGAGUGUAGCGGUGAAAUGCGUAGAUAUUCGGAGGAACACCGAUGGCGAAGGCAGGUCUCUGGGCCACUACUGACGCUGAGAAGCGAAAGCAUGGGGAGCGAACAGGAUUAGAUACCCUGGUA
rnacentral:rRNA from 1 species